rnacentral:rRNA from 1 species
GAUGAACGCUGGCGGCGUGCUUAACACAUGCAAGUCGAACGGUGAACACGGAGCUUGCUCUGUGGGAUCAGUGGCGAACGGGUGAGUAACACGUGAGCAACCUGCCCCUGACUCUGGGAUAAGCGCUGGAAACGGCGUCUAAUACUGGAUAUGUGACGUGACCGCAUGGUCUGCGUUUGGAAAGAUUUUUCGGUUGGGGAUGGGCUCGCGGCCUAUCAGCUUGUUGGUGAGGUAAUGGCUCACCAAGGCGUCGACGGGUAGCCGGCCUGAGAGGGUGACCGGCCACACUGGGACUGAGACACGGCCCAGACUCCUACGGGAGGCAGCAGUGGGGAAUAUUGCACAAUGGGCGCAAGCCUGAUGCAGCAACGCCGAGUGAGGGAUGACGGCCUUCGGGUUGUAAACCGCUUUUAGCAGGGAAGAAGCGAAAGUGACGGUACCUGCAGAAAAAGCGCCGGCUAACUACGU